rnacentral:rRNA from 1 species
UACACUCCUACGGGAGGCAGCAGUGGGGAAUUUUGGACAAUGGGCGAAAGCCUGAUCCAGCAAUGCCGCGUGCAGGAUGAAGGCCUUCGGGUUGUAAACUGCUUUUGUACGGAACGAAAAAGCUCCUUCUAAUACAGGGGGCCCAUGACGGUACCGUAAGAAUAAGCACCGGCUAACUACGUGCCAGCAGCCGCGGUAAUACGUAGGGUGCGAGCGUUAAUCGGAAUUACUGGGCGUAAAGCGUGCGCAGGCGGUUAUGUAAGACAGAUGUGAAAUCCCCGGGCUCAACCUGGGAACUGCAUUUGUGACUGCAUGGCUAGAGUACGGUAGAGGGGGAUGGAAUUCCGCGUGUAGCAGUGAAAUGCGUAGAUAUGCGGAGGAACACCGAUGGCGAAGGCAAUCCCCUGGACCUGUACUGACGCUCAUGCACGAAAGCGUGGGGAGCAAACAGGAUUAGAUACCCGAGUAGUCCC